rnacentral:rRNA from 1 species
UACGUAGGGGGCAAGCGUUGUCCGGAAUCAUUGGGCGUAAAGCGCGUGUAGGCGGCUUGGUAAGUCCGCUCUGAAAGCCCGGGGCUCAACCCCGGGAGGCGGGUGGAUACUGUCAAGCUCGAGUCCGGAAGAGGCGAGUGGAAUUCCUGGUGUAGCGGUGAAAUGCGCAGAUAUCAGGAGGAACACCAAUGGCGAAGGCAGCUCGCUGGGACGUGACUGACGCUGAGACGCGAAAGCGUGGGGAGCAUACAGG